GACGAACGCUGGCGGCGCGCCUAACACAUGCAAGUCGAACGGAGCUGAGAGAAGCUUGCUUUUCUUAGCUUAGUGGCGAACGGGUGAGUAACGCGUGAGUAACCUGCCCUGGAGUGGGGGACAACAGUUGGAAACGACUGCUAAUACCGCAUAAGCCCACGAUCCGGCAUCGGAUUGAGGGAAAAGGAUUUAUUCGCUUCAGGAUGGACUCGCGUCCAAUUAGCUAGUGGGUGAGGUAACGGCCCACCAAGGCGACGAUUGGUAGCCGGACUGAGAGGUUGAACGGCCACAUUGGGACUGAGACACGGCCCAGACUCCUACGGGAGGCAGCAGUGGGGGAUAUUGCACAAUGGGGGAAACCCUGAUGCAGCGACGCCGCGUGGAGGAAGAAGGUUUUCGGAUUGUAAACUCCUGUCGUUAGGGACGAUAAUGACGGUACCUAACAAGAAAGCACCGGCUAACUACGUG
rnacentral:rRNA from 1 species